CCUUUCAGGCCUCGUUUGGUUGCAUGGGAUCCCGGAGGGAACCCCGAUUAUUCCCGGGCGGUAAAAGCACGGGCCAGAUCAAGCCGGGGAAAUCGAGCGCGACGUUUGGACGGAUUCGUUGGGGGGGCAUCCCUGCCCUACCCGCGUCGUUUCCCCGGGGAAACGUUCCACGCCUCCAGGGGUCGGGGAGAGAAGCCACGGCUCGAGCGAGACCGCGAACGCAGCGACCGAAAGGCGGCGACGACCGGAGAGACGGACCGCCCCCUCCCUCCGGUGCUCCACCUCCAUGCUCCGUCCACCAGCGACCACAACGUCCGUGGUCGUCUUGCUCCUCCUUCCCCAGAUCUCCCCUCCUCCUCGAAGUUCCUGUCCCCUCCGGUGACGGCAACGCCGGCGGUUCCGCGGUCAACUUCCACCUACUUCGAUUAAGGGAAACUGAUGCCUGAACUUGCUGGUCCAGAUCCAAGAACCCGAGCCUUCUCUUCUAAAUAAUUCCACAUGGCGUAGACAAAAUUUACUUCAUUGGUGCCCUGAGCCUCUGACAUUAGCAAAUGAUUUGCUUUAUCCGAAAACGCUAGGCGGUGGCGGCGGCGUUGUGUUCAGUGGCUAAGUGCCUUUUGGUUCGUUGGUCAUUGAAAAGAUUUCAUCUGAUGAAGAAAGGGUCUUGCUUAAGCAAGAGAAAGUACUGCCAAGUAUCAACUAGCUAGUUACAGAUUCACUUAUCAGGGAAGUAACUUGUAACAGCAGUGGAGUGUGGGCACGUGCCAUAUAUCUAUUAGUAAUUUGGUACUUCCAUCGUGCUUGUGCUAGCUCCAGGUUUGAAUCUUCCUUAGUACUAUAUUUUUAGAAGUGAUGCUUACUGUUGGUUAGGGUCUUCUUCUGAAGAACAAUAACAAUUUUUUUAUAUUUGUUGCAGAAGUUCUGCUAUGCAUUCAUUAACACUUACGACACUGCCGGAGAAUACAUUGUUUGUGAAUUGUUUGUUUGGCUGCCUUACGUCCUUUUAUAGAUAGAGUCCUUUACUUCUCCGCACUAAAAAAUCCAUGUUUGUUUUGUCCUUACUUUUCCCCUCAUACAUUUUUUUUGUCCCCAUUUUUACUAAUUUUGAAAUUAUAUAUUGGCGGGAAGCUUCACAAUAAAGAUAUAUUGCUUAUCAUCUUCCAUUCUUCCGUCUUAAGUUAUUUAGUAAUUAUUACUGAAAUGUAUGACACUAUAACCUGAAACAGAAGUUAGUAUUCUGGCUCUUAUCUUUUUUCUCAACAAGUUCUGCUGAUUGUUAUUAAAAAUCUAAGCUAUAGUGAUCAUGUGUUCAUGUAAUUGUUACAAUUCUCAGUUGGAUACAUGGUGCUAACUUUCUUACUCUUUUUUUGUAGUUCAACGAACAUCGAGUUGUGGUACUUGAUGUCGAUGCGGAGUGGCGAAAAGACCUGAGUAGGACUAGUGAUUUUCACCUUGCAACUCAAUCCUAUUCGAAAGUGUGUAUGCCUUGGACAUGUGAUAAUUCAGAACCUUUUGUAGUGAACAAACUUAAACAAUGGUGCAUCAAUGCCAAUUGUUUUGAUUGCUUUUAUGUUGGCACACGAAAAACGGUUUAGGUCAACGCUUGAUUGCUAUAAAAUGCAAAGCGAUGGAUAUUUGAAUCU